CCUACGGGUGGCAGCAGUGGGGAAUAUUGCACAAUGGCGGAAACCCUGAAGCAGCGAAGCCGCGUGAGUGAAGAAGGAUUUCGGUGUGUAAAGCUCUAUCAGCAGGGAAGAAAAAGACGGUACCUGAUUAAGAAGCCCCGGCUAACUACGGUCCAGCAGCCGCGGUAAUACGUAGGGGGCAAGCGUUAUCCGGAUUUACUGGUGGUAAAGGGGUCGUAGACGGCAGCACAAGUCUGGAGUGAAAUGCCUGGGCUUAACCCCAGAUCUGCUUUUGAAACUGUGCAGCUAGAGUGCAGGAGAGGUAAGUGGAAUUACUAGAGUAGCGGUGAAAUGCGUAGAUAUUAGGAGGAACACCAGUGGCGAAGGCGGCUUACUGGACUGUAACUGACGUUGAGGCUCGAGAGCGUGGGGAGCAAACAGGAUUAGAUACCCUUGUAGUC
rnacentral:rRNA from 1 species